AUUGAACGCUGGCGGCAGGCCUAACACAUGCAAGUCGAACGAGUGGCGGACGGGUGAGUAAUGUCUGGGAAACUGCCCGAGGGAGGGGGAUAACUACUGGAAACGGUAGCUAAUACCGCAUACCAUCGGAUGUGCCCAGAUGGGAUUAGCUAGUAGGGGGGGUAACGGCGCACCUAGGGUACGAUCCCUAGCUGGUCUGAGAGGAUGACCAUCCACACUGGAACUGAGACACGGUCCAGACUCCUACGGGAGGCAGCAGUGGGGAAUAUUGCACAAUGGGCGCAAGCCUGAUGCAGCCAUGCCGCGUGUAUGAAGAAGGCCUUCGGAUUGUAAAGUACUUUCAGCGAGGAGUCGUUACUCACAGAAUAAGCACCGGCUAACUCCGUGCCAGCAGCCGCGGUAAUAC
rnacentral:rRNA from 1 species